CGAAGAGCCUGGUGUGCUCGAGUUCUCUGCUCGUUUUUCCUUGGCUUCCGGAAAGCUGGUGUGCUACGUAAGCAGGGCUGGGGCAGGGAUCUCCUAAGAUUGAUGAGGGUUUUGUUUUACAUUGUGGUUUUUUGCAGUGAGCUCUCACCUCAGAGGCUCUAUUUGAGAGUACGCGCAGAGCAAGGGACUGCUCCUGCCUGGGAGAGGGACAUGGGCAGAGGAUGGAAAGGAUGGAGAGAAGGCACAAGGAUGGCACCAGGGACAUCCUCAGCUGUUACUUAGCCAGACCUAAAGCCAGAAGCAGAAGGAAACAGGCGAGCGCUUUCCAAGCCACAUGCUCUGCGUGCAGAUCAAAGCAAAACCUCCCCCCUCCUUCACAGGGGGUUGAUUUGACGUGGUUCUCCAGCUGUGAGCUGCUGUCGAGAGGUGCUCAGGACCAGAGCGGGGCUGUGUUUGGUGCUCUGACUGAUGGGCAACACGGCUGCAAAACCCCAGCCCCGCCGUGACCCAGCGCGUGGGUUUUGGAUAGGGCAGAAGCUCAGAGCAGGUGGUGGGCAUCCUCUGUGCCUUGCUUCAUCCUGGGGACUGCAUGCUGUCUGCAUGCUGCUGCCAGAUCCCUGCCACGGGCACCAGUAUGCUGGACCAGAAUACCAACCAGUAUACUCCAGUUGCCCUGCUGCAUUCAGCCUGCCCCACUGGGCAACAUCUCUGCAAACCAUCCGUAGCCCAGUCAGUCCCUUAUCCCUCGGGCUUUCACUGAACCCUUUUGUCCGAACCCUUUCCCAAGGCUAUAUGAGCUCUUCGCAUUCUGCUGCUCCUUUUUCCCCAGGACAGUUUCCUUGAGGACCAUCCAUCCCCAAAGACAAUGUCAUCCCCAAACCUGCUCAACCAACUGCCCUACAAACCACCAUCACAGUGGGACAGAGAGCUGGGCUCGUCCUUCAGCAGCCUAUGCUGACCACAGCACUAGGGCCAACUAGAGUGGCCCAAACCCAUGGAAUAACUCAUUUACC
ensembl:lncRNA